rnacentral:ncRNA from 1 species
UGACCUCGGAUCAGGUAGGGAUACCCGCUGAACUUAAGCAUAUCAAUAAGCGGAGGAAAAGAA